rnacentral:rRNA from 1 species
AGUGAACGCUGGCGGUAGGCCUAACACAUGCAAGUCGAACGGCAGCACAGGAGAGCUUGCUCUCUGGGUGGCGAGUGGCGGACGGGUGAGGAAUACAUCGGAAUCUACUCUGUCGUGGGGGAUAACGUAGGGAAACUUACGCUAAUACCGCAUACGACCUACGGGUGAAAGCAGGGGACCUUCGGGCCUUGCGCGAUUGAAUGAGCCGAUGUCGGAUUAGCUAGUUGGCGGGGUAAAGGCCCACCAAGGCGACGAUCCGUAGCUGGUCUGAGAGGAUGGUCAGCCACACUGGAACUGAGACACGGUCCAGACUCCGACGGGAGGCAGCAGUGGGGAAUAUUGGACAAUGGGCGCAAGCCUGAUCCAGCCAUACCGCGUGGGUGAAGAAGGCCUUCGGGUUGUAAAGCCCUUUUGUUGGGAAAGAAAUCCAGCUGGCUAAUACCCGGUUGGGAUGACGGUACCCAAAGAAUAAGCACCGGCUAGCUUCGUGCCAGCCGCCGCAGUAA